AAGAUUAUAUAGUUUCAAGCCCCCUGCCAUACACAGAGAUACCACAAGGCUUAAUCCUUCGAGGCUUCCUUGGACACACUGAAGCAUCCUGGCUGCCCUCCCAGGCAUCCUGAAGCUGUACUCCUGCAACAUCAAUGAAAGGGGUUCCCCUGCCUCUCCAUGGCUGCAGCUGAAAUCAGUAAUAGCACAGUAUAUGAUGUAGCUGAAUUGCUAAGGCAAAAAAUGUGCCUGAGAGGAGAAAAAGUAGAAGGCAAAUCUCUUUGCUUCUGCUCAGAUCACAGUGCAUCAGGUCUGUACUGAUGACGGUCCUCGAGGGAAGGAUAAGGGAAGCAGGUAAUUCCUUGAGAAGCAAAAUCAUCCAAGCUCCAAAAUUAUGCCAUGGCAAAAUGCAGAAAUUGAUCUAUUUUUGAGAACAACGCUGCACCAGCAAGUGGAUGGUCUAGGAAGAACUCAUCUGAGUUGCUGACCUCAACAACUGCUCCACAGAGACAGCAAAUGAACCAUCCUCCACCAUCCUGCCAUUUUCUCAGCAGAACUGCUGUUGAACCACAGACAGUGACAACUCAUUAUCUCUUGCUCAAGACAUAUCAUCUUGCCUGUUUUUGUUUUCUAAUCCACUAUUGAAUCACUGCUGAACUGGAAAAAAAAUGAGAUAACUUGACCUUUAGGAAACCCAUCUACAGCUGAAUGUGCAAGAAGUGACAGCCAGAAAUGGUAUGUUCUUGUCAGGGUAAUAAAGCCAAGCUCCAAAAAAGAUCUAAUGUAUGCAGAUUCCUUUUCUUUCAGGGGUGACUGUAAUUUCAGGGAAAAGGCAAGCAGGUGAUUGAUUUGUUUAUAGUGAG